ACUCAAAUGAAUUGACGGGGGCCCGCACAAGCGGUGGAUCAUGUGGUUUAAUUCGAAGCAACGCGAAGAACCUUACCUGGGUUUGACAUCCUCGGCCCGCCCUAGAAAUAGGGUUUUCGGAGCAAUCCGACCGAGUGACAGGUGCUGCAUGGCUGUCGUCAGCUCGUGUGGUGACAUGUUGGGUUAAGUCCCGCAACGAGCGCAACCCCUGUUCUUAGUUGCCAGCCUUCAGUGGGGCACUCUAAGGAGACUGCCGUGGUUAACACGGAGGAAGGUGGGGAUGACGUCAAGUCCUCAUGGCCUUUAUAUCCAGGGCGACACACGUGAUACAAUGGUCGGUACAGAGGGAAGCGAAAGAGCGAUCUGGAGCCAAUCUCAAAAAACCGAUCUCAGUUCGGAUUGGAGUCUGCAACUCGACUCCAUGAAGGUGGAAUCGCUAGUAAUCGCGGAUCAGCACGCCGCGGUGAAUACGUUCCCGGGCCUUGUACACACCGCCCGU
rnacentral:rRNA from 1 species